GUAAGAACUUGAUCACAAAACAAAUGGCUUCACAUAUCUUAACGAGAUCAAGCUUUUCAACACAACUUUACGCAUCUUGGUCAAAAUCCUCCAUUCCUAAAAGCAAUACACUUCACUAACUGGGGAAACAUUGAGUAUGAUAUCUGCCUUUGAUGCAAACUAUAAUUCAGCCGGUGACGAUGUAGUCAUUUAUGUUUUUGGCGUUUCAAAAACAUUUUCUUUUAGGUUGCAUAAAGGUUAAAAUAGAAGGUUCUCAAUUUAUCUUUGAUUCAUUAAUUCCAAAAGCUUACUGAGUUUACGCAGAGGUAAGCGUAUUAUGUCUAAUGAUAUUUGUUAUAGAGUUCAAGAGAUCAUCUGGAAUUUCCAUUUUUGUUUUCCAAAAAUUCUUCAAUUUAUCUAUUGUUGGACUAAAUCAUCUUAGCGUUUAUUUAAGUUAUUCUCACUUUAUAUAUAUUUUUGUUUAUGCGUAGCAUUGUGCACAAUUAUGUUUUUGAAUGAACCAUCGGCUUUAAUAGCAUUCUAACAGUCUUCCAUGAUUUUCAUCAUAUAAAUCUUUGUUUUAUAUCUUUGUUUUAUUUAUUACUUGUUUCCAACAGUCUUCCAUGAUUCUCUUAGCAAUUAGCUUUUGGAGGAUCAUGAUCAUAAAUUGCUGAAUAUAGAAACAUUGCAUACGAAGUUGAAGGGGUGAAAAAUUAAAAAUUAAAACAAAUUGAGAAAAUUCUGGGAAUCUUUAAUUUAGUUGUGAUGACGGUAAGAAAUGUCAAAUGAAAAUAGGGAUACUAAUUGACCAACAACAUCAUAUUUCCCAAGUUUUUUUUUAAAAGUAAGAAAAAUCUUAAUUUGUCCUCUUAACAAUUUUCUCCUCAUUUC